AUGAUGUUUUCAGAUCCCGCGAAACGCAUGACUCGUCCUUGUAGCAUGCUGCAAAUUUUCUCAUUAGAGUUGGCUAAACUUCCUGGGAAUGAUGGCUUAGUAGAGUUGUAUGGAUACAUAGCGGCAUGGGAUGAUGUGGAUAAGAUGCUUAAUUAUGUCAUCAAUAUUAGCAGGGAUGAUCCCAUUAUUGUGAAGCAGGGUUCCCUCAUCAGCAUGGGUGGUGGCCCUAAGCGAGGAAUAGAUGUAAUGGACGAGGCAAUAAUCGAGUAUGACAUGAGGAUUAAGCGAGGCAGACAAGAAAGACAUGACCUACAACUGAUCGAUGGUGCAACAAUCUUAGGUCCCCACGGUACAUGGGAUAGGCCGUUCACAUAUGACAUCUCUAACGACUCUGGCGGUGUAGUUAACAUAACUUUAGCACGUCUUUCUUGGGCAGUCGAGGCGAUUGUAGAGGUUCUCAUCUCGGAAGUGCAGGGCGGUUUCAAUAUGACUCUUAGAUGUUUUACCAGUGGGUUUGAUUCUGAGAUAAGGCUCUUCAAUGGCGCCAUUACCGACUCAAGUGGAUUGAAGUAG
rnacentral:rRNA from 1 species